rnacentral:rRNA from 1 species
GAUUUCUGGUACAAUGCACCUGGCCCGCGGCCUAUUAGGCUUGUGAGUGCCGGCGCGCGUUUACCAUCCUUCUAGAAAACAGGCCUGCCCUUUACUGGGUUGGGUUUGCGAUCUAGAUCUUUUACUUUGAAAAAAUUAGAGUGUUUAAAGCAGGCUUUUGCUAUGAAUACAUUAGCAUGGAAUAAUAAUCUAGGACUUCGGUUCUAUUUUGUUGGUUUCUAUAACUGAAGUAAUGAUUGAUAGGGAUAGUUGGGGGUGCUAGUAUUGGCCGGCCAGAGGUGAAAUUCUUGGAUUCGGUCAAGACUAACUUAUGCGAAAGCAUU